rnacentral:tRNA from 1 species
UCCCUGGUGGCUCAGAUGGUAAAGCACCUGCCUGCAAUGUGGGAGACCUGGGUUCAAUCCCUGGGUUGGGAA